CUACUUAUCAUUUCUCAGUAAUUCUAGGGCAGCAUUUUAAGAGGCAUCGUAGGACAUUGGAAUAAGUGCUGGAUUUGUGGUCAAAAGACCUGAAUCUUACUAGCCUUAGAUCUUGAUAGCCAUUUGACCACAGGAAAAAAAUUCAUCUACACAGAAGAUGGAAAGGCAGACAUCAUCACCCACCAAAAUUGGAUUUAUAAUGGAAACAGAAACUUAUUAUGGUAGUGAACCCUGCCAUUAUGAAGUAUUCUAAAAUAAAAUAACUCCAUGCAAGAAUAGUCAGCUGACAUCUCAUAAAGGAGUGAAUCUAUCUACCUCGACAUCUUUUCAAACAUGAAAACUCCAUUUCAAGGGUCUUAGGAAGAUUCUGAAGAUCACCUGGCAAGAUAAGGUACCAGACCACACUGAGGUCCUCUUAAGGUGAACUGCCAAGCAUUCUAACUCUACUGUAGAGAGUGCAACUCUGAUGGGCUGGCCGUGGAGCCUGAAUGCCAAGGCAAGUGCUCACUCAGAAAGCUUUACAAGGACACUCUCAAAGUCUCUCUAAAGAAUUUAGUAUUGAUUAUGAGACAUGGGAGACCCUGGCACAGGAUCUCCCAGCAUGGUGUGCACUAGAUCUAUGGUACAACCUUCCAAGCUUCUAGUGGACUGAUCAGCCACAGUCAAAUACACUGUACGCUGACCCCAAUAUCGUGAUGUCAUUGGUCCUCUUCAAGUACAAUGGAUGAACAACAACAACAACAGAGUAUGGAAGAAAACCUUCCC